rnacentral:lncRNA from 1 species
GUUCUCUUCCCAAUAACAGCCAUUACAGCAGCAGAUCAUCAGACUCCACCAAGAGCUUGGGAGACAGAAGUCUCUGUGGGCUGAUGUUCAUGGAAAACUCCGGAGUCAUAUAGAUGCUUUGAGGGAGCAGAACAUGGAGCUCCGAGAAAAGCUGAGAGCUCUGCAGCUGCAGCGGUGGAAAGCCAGGAAGAAAUCUGCAGCGUCCCCACACGCGGGGCAAGAAUCGCACACUCUGGCAUUGGAACCUGCUUUUGGAAAAAUUUCACCUCUGUCAGCUGAUGAAGAGACAAUACCCAAAUACGCUGGCCACAAGAAUCAGAGUGCCACUCUCCUGGGACAAAGAUCGUCAUCUAACAAUUCAGCUCCUCCAAAGCUCCUCUUUAGAACAUUCUCCCAGCCAGUGUGUCUCUUCCUGUCCCAGCUUUGUGUCACCCUCAUACUCAGGAAGCAAAUCUCGUGAGUCCACAGCCAGCAACUGAUACUGGGUUGAUGUGGAUGGAGAAGGCGCCCCCAACUCCUGAAGAUGAUUUAUCCCCUCGCAUUCUUUCCCAAAGCAACUGCUGAGCAGAUAACACUUUAUUCCCUGAAGGAAGAUCAGAAAUCUACUCCAAGCAUUUGUCACAACCAAUGAGUUUAAAGAUAGAAAGAAUUAGCUCGUGGAAAACACCACCACAGGAAAAUAGAGAUAAAAAUCUUUCCAGGAGACGUCAAGACAGAAGAGCAACACCUACUGGAAGGCCAACUCCCUGUGCAGAGAGACGGGGGGGUGUCUGAAGAUGGAAAGGUGGCCUCGGACACCUGUGUCACUCUACACUGGCCCCUUGGAAAAUUCAGAUUCAGAUAAAGUUCCACUUAGGUCUAAUAAAAGUACUCAAUUUGUUAUUCAAAA